UCGAAUCUUUGAACGCACAUUGCGCCCGCCAGCAUUCUGGCGGGCAUGCCUGUUCCGAGCGUCAUUUU
rnacentral:rRNA from 1 species